rnacentral:rRNA from 1 species
CCUAAGGUAGCGAAAUUCCUUGUCGGGUAAGUUCCGACCUGCACGAAUGGCGUAAUGAUGGCCAGGCUGUCUCCACCCGAGACUCAGUGAAAUUGAACUCGCUGUGAAGAUGCAGUGUACCCGCGGCAAGACGGAAAGACCCCGUGAACCUUUACUAUAGCUUGACACUGAACACUGGUCCUUGAUGUGUAGGAUAGGUGGGAGGCUUUGAAGCGUGGACGCCAGUCUGCGUGGAGCCAACCUUGAAAUACCACCCUUUAAUGGCUGGUGUUCUAACGUAGACCCGUAAUCCGGGUUGCGGACAGUGUCUGGUGGGUAGUUUGACUGGGGCGGUCUCCUCCCAAAGAGUAACGGAGGAGCACGAAGGUUGGCUAAUCCUGGUCGGACAUCAGGAGGUUAGUGCAAUGGCAUAAGCCAGCUUGACUGCGAGCGUGACGGCGCGAGCAGGUGCGAAAGCAGGUCAUAGUGAUCCGGUGGUUCUGAAUGGAAGGGCCAUCGCUCAACGGAUAAAAGGUACUCCGGGGAUAACAGGCUGAUACCGCCCAAGAGUUCAUAUCGACGGCGGUGUUUGGCACCUCGAUGUCGGCUCAUCACAUCCUGGGGCUGAAGUAGGUCCCAAGGGUAUGGCUGUUCGCCAUUUAAAGUGGUACGCGAGCUGGGUUUAGAACGUCGUGAGACAGUUCGGUCCCUAUCUGCCGUGGGCGCUGGAGAAUUGAGGGGGGCUGCUCCUAGUACGAGAGGACCGGAGUGGACGCAUCACUGGUGUUCGGGUUGUCAUGCCAAUGGCACUGCCCGGUAGCUAAAUGCGGAAGAGAUAAGUGCUGAAAGCAUCUAAGCACGAAACUUGCCCCGAGAUGAGUUCUCCCUGAGACCUUGAGUCUCCUGAAGGAACGUUAAAGACGAUGACGUUGAUAGGUCGGGUGUGUAAGCGCAGCGAUGCGUUGAGCUAACCGAUACUAAUGAACCGUGAGGCUUAACCUU